AGACUUGGAUCAAUUAGCAAACUUUCUCGGACACGAUAUUCGAAUUCAUCGGGAAUACUAUCGCCUUCCUGAAAAGACUUUACAGCUUGCAAAAGUCAGCAAAGUCCUUAUGGCUCUAGAACAAGGAAGAGUUGGCCAAUUUAAGGGCAAGAAUUUGGAUGAGAUCACUAUUGACCCAAAUGAGGAGAUGGAGUUAAAUAAUGAAGUGAUGAGCGAGGAGGGUGAAAACUGUGAAGAACACGAAGAUACACAGGCAAAUGUGUGUGCACCACCAUUAGACACUGAAGUUGUGACCACAGUGAAUAUGAAGCAUUCUCUUGAAAG